rnacentral:rRNA from 1 species
UGGGGAAUAUUGCACAAUGGGCGCAAGCCUGAUGCAGCCAUGCCGCGUGUGUGAAGAAGGCCUUCGGGUUGUAAAGCACUUUCAGCGAGGAGGAAGGUGGUGAACUUAAUACGUUCAUCAAUUGACGUUACUCGCAGAAGAAGCACCGGCUAACUCCGUGCCAGCAGCCGCGGUAAUACGGAGGGUGCAAGCGUUAAUCGGAAUUACUGGGCGUAAAGCGCACGCAGGCGGUUUGUUAAGUCAGAUGUGAAAUCCCCGGGCUCAACCUGGGAACUGCAUUUGAAAACUGGCAAGCUAGAGUCUCGUAGAGGGGGGUAGAAUUCCAGGUGUAGCGGUGAAAUGCGUAGAGAUCUGGAGGAAUACCGGUGGCGAAGGCGGCCCCCCUGGACGAAGACUGACGCUCAGGUGCGAAAAGCGUGGGGAGCAAAACAGGAUUAGAUACCCUGGUAGUCCACGCUGUAAAACGAUGUCGAUUUUGGAGGUUGUGCCCUUGAGGCGUGGCUUCCGGAGCUAACGCGUUAAAUCGACCGCCUGGGGAGUACGGCCGCAAGGUUAAAACUC